ensembl:lncRNA
AUGGGAUAUAUAUCCCCCAUAAAGGCUGUGGUCAUUAGUGAGCAUUGUCAUAUUGCCCACCUGAAGAGUCAGCAUCUGGUCCCCAUAGAGGGUCGGGUUGCCACUAUAUGUUGCCAUCUGGCCUCCACAGAGAGCCUGGUUAUCAAUGGAGGUCAUAUUCUGCCCCCCAUAGAGGGUCUGAUUACCAGUGGAGGUCGUCACCUGCUCCCCAUAGAGGGUCUGGUUACCAGUGGAGGUCAUCAUCUGCUCCCCACAGAGGGUCUGGUUACUAGUGGAGGUCAUCAUCUGCUCCCCACAGAGGGUCUGGUUACUAGUGGAGGUCGUCACCUGCUCCCCAUAGAGGGUCUGAUUACCAGUGGAGGUCAUCGCCUGCUCCCCAUAGAGGGUCUGGAUUACCAGGGUGAGGUCACCAUCUCGUCCCCCGUGAAAGGGCCUCAAGCUACCAGUGGAGGUCGUCAUCUGCUCUCCACAGAGGGUCUGGUUACCAGUGGAGGUCGUCAUCUGCUCUCCACAGAGGGUCUGGUUACCAGUGGAGGUCAUCAUCUGCUCUCCACAGAGGGUCUGGUUACCAGUGGAGGUCGUCAUCUGCUCCACGUAGAGGGUCUGGUUACCAGUGGAGGUUGUCGCUUGCUCCCCAUAGAGAGUCUGGUUAUCAGUGGAAGUCAUCAUUUGCCCUCCAUAGAGGUCUAGACUGGUUGUCAUCUGGCCCCCAGAGAGGGCCUCAUCGCCACUGGAAGUCACUGUAUGACCAUCAGUGAGGGUCUGGUCACUACUGAAGGUCACCUGGUCCCCACAGAGAGUCUGGUUAUCACUGAGGGUCUUCAUCUGAUCUCCAUGCAGGGCUGGUAUCUGACUCUCAUUGAGGGUCUGGUCACUACUUGGAGUGUUCAGCUGGUUACUUUCACUGGAGAUUGUCAUGUUGCUUGCAGUGAUGGCUGUCUUCUGGCAAUCAGUGGGUGAUGCCUUUGGGGUGUCAGUAACAUCUGUCAUCUGGGAGCCUGCUGUGUGUUUUAUCUGAUCAAAGGAAGUCACUUUCUGGCCCAUGGAAUAAGUCUCAUUUAGGUCUUCAAGUGCCAUAUCAAGGGCUUUAAGAGGGUGCAUUGUUAAGUCCUGGGUGAGAACUGUCCCAGGGAUGUUAGUGCAUGCAGAAGUCAUCAUUGUGGGCCCCAAGGGAGGCAUCGUCUUGCUCCUGGUUGACUCAUGUUGGCUCUCCUCAGCAUGGGCAGUCAGAGGCAUACAGUUCUGUGGUUCUGGUGCAUCUGGGGUUUCUGCCUGUUUUGUAUGUCGCUCAGAGAGAUGCUGGAAAAAAUUCUCAAUUUCCUCGAUUGCCUGGAGGAGACUGGAAUCCAUUUCUUUGCUGUUGCCUGAUAACUAACUGAAUCUUUUGUUAUGGGAUCCUGCAAAAAAGUUAAUAGGUCAGGGGUUCAUCUCAGUUCAAAUUCUCCUUCUCCAUCCCUGUUGAGCCCACCAUUAUCUCUUGCCUAGAAGCCUGUAGUUGCCUCUCAACUGACUCUGGAGUUAACUUCAUCCAGUGUACCCUCCACACACAGAGUAACAUUUCAAAAGUGAAAACAUUUCUCAAAUGCAAACUUUUACUAAGCCACUCCUAUCUACCAAUGGAGGCAAGAAUCUAGAUGGAUGCUGUGAAUGUCCCAUUAUCCUCUGAAGAGAUCUGACCCCAGAGACUUUUUCAAAGUCUCCUCUCCAGACAUCUUACCGGAGAUUCAGCUGAUUAAACUUUCAAAUAAAUUGUCUCAUUUCAUUUCCACCAUGACCCCAGAAAAUAAGGGUCAUAAUUAAUCUCAUUUUAAAGAAAAUAGAAGUCCAGGGAGGUGAAUUGGCUUGGCCCAGGUGGAAGACUCUUAACUUGUACUGGACCUAUCUGGCUCUGGGUCCUUACAGUCCCCUAGAUAAAUGGGGACAUUUCUCCCAGAGAUCUCCCUGGGGGCACCCACUGAUUCUGGCCUCCUGAGAACCAUCCUGGAAACCACCAGCUUCUAGGAACCAUUCUACUAUGGACUGAAUGUGUUUCUCCAAAUUUUGUAUGUUAAAACUGAAUUUCCAAUGUGAUUGUAUUAGAAGGUAGGGCCUUUGGGAGAUGAUUAGGUCAUGGAGACAGAGCCUUCAAGAAUGAGAUGAGUGUUCUUCUAAGGGGCUGAGUUCUUUACUUCUACCAAGUGAGGACCCAGCUAAAAGGUGCCAUCUAUAAAUCAGAAAGCAUGCCCUUACCAGACACCAAAUCUACCAGCUCCUGGACAGAACAGACUAAGACACAUUCCAAGCAGCAGUUUCUUUGGAGACAGAGGCAUAAUUGUGCAUAUAUUUCUGUUCAAAGUGGCCAUCGAUAUGCUUCUAGGCUUCCUAUGUCUCUGGUAUGAUGUGUAUGUAUGUAUGUAUGUAUGUAUUUAUUGUUUUCUCUGCCCCAUAUGAUCUGCAAGAAAAGUGUCA